CUUCGAGAUGAGGGCUCCCACCCCGUGAGGGGGUAAGGCUCCCAGUAGACGACUGGGUUGAUAGGCCAGAUGUGGAAGCCGGGCAACCGGUGGAGCUGACUGGUACUAAUAGGCCGAGGACUUGUCCAU
rnacentral:rRNA from 1 species